UACGUAGGGGGCAAGCGUUAUCCGGAUUUACUGGGUGUAAAGGGAGCGUAGACGGCAUAGCAAGUCUGAAGUGAAAGCCCGUGGCUCAACCGCGGAACUGCUUUGGAAACUGUUAAGCUGGAGUACUGGAGAGGCUAGCGGAAUUCCUAGUGUAGCGGUGAAAUGCGUAGAUAUUAGGAGGAACACCAGUGGCGAAGGCGGCUUGCUGGACAGAGACUGACGUUGAGGCUCGAAAGCGUGGGGAGCAAACAGG
rnacentral:rRNA from 1 species